rnacentral:rRNA from 1 species
AUUGAACGCUGGCGGCAUGCCUUACACAUGCAAGUCGAACGGUAACAGGUCUUCGGAUGCUGACGAGUGGCGAACGGGUGAGUAAUACAUCGGAACGUGCCUAGUAGUGGGGGAUAACUACUUGAAAGAGUAGCUAAUACCGCAUGAGAUCUACGGAUGAAAGCAGGGGAUCGAAAGACCUUGUGCUACUAGAGCGGCCGAUGGCAGAUUAGGUAGUUGGUGGGAAAAAAGCUUACCAAGCCGACGAUCUGUAGCUGGUCUGAGAGGACGAUCCGCCACACUGGGACUGAGGCACGGCCCAGACUCCUACGGGAGGCAGCAGUGGGGAAUUUUGGACAAUGGGCGAAAGCCUGAUUCAGCAAUGCCGCGUGCAGGAUGAAGGCCUUCGGGUUGUAAACUGCUUUUGUACGGAACGAAAAGCCCUGGGUUAAUACCCUGGGGUCAUGACGGUACCGUAAGAAUAAGCACCGGCUAACUACGUGCCAGCCGCCGCGGUAACAC